AUUGAACGCUGGCGGCACGCCUUACACAUGCAAGUCGAACGGCAGCAUGAUCUAGCUUGCUAGAUUGAUGGCGAGUGGCGAACGGGUGAGUAAUACAUCGGAACGUGCCCUGUAGUGGGGGAUAACUAGUCGAAAGAUUAGCUAAUACCGCAUACGACCUGAGGGUGAAAGUGGGGGACCGCAAGGCCUCAUGCUAUAGGAGCGGCCGAUGUCUGAUUAGCUAGUUGGUGAGGUAAAGGCUCACCAAGGCGACGAUCAGUAGCUGGUCUGAGAGGACGAUCAGCCACACUGGGACUGAGACACGGCCCAGACUCCUACGGGAGGCAGCAGUGGGGAAUUUUGGACAAUGGGCGAAAGCCUGAUCCAGCAAUGCCGCGUGUGUGAAGAAGGCCUUCGGGUUGUAAAGCACUUUUGUCCGGAAAGAAAUGGCUCUGGUUAAUACCUGGGGUCGAUGACGGUACCGGAAGAAUAAGGACCGGCUAACUACGUG
rnacentral:rRNA from 1 species